rnacentral:rRNA from 1 species
UACGGAGGGUGCAAGCGUUAAUCGGAAUUACUGGGCGUAAAGCGCACGUAGGUGGUUUGGUUAGCUAGCCGUGAAAGCCCCGGGCUCAACCUGGGAAUUGCGGUUAGAACUACCAAGCUAGAGUAGGGUAGAGGGGUGUGGAAUUCCAGGUGUAGCGGUGAAAUGCGUAGAUAUCUGGAGGAACAUCAGUGGCGAAGGCGACACCCUGGGCUCAUACUGACACUGAGGAGCGAAAGCAUGGGGAGCGAACAGG